rnacentral:misc_RNA from 1 species
GUUCUAUUUUAGGGCAUAAUGUUGUGGUUCUUCCCUUGACUGACCAAGAAAAACAUGUUCCAGAGGCAUCUUCCAUUCAUAUCGAUUUGGGUUUUUCCGCACCAUAUUUUGAUCUGCCUCUUCUUCGAUCCGGAAUUCCCAGCAAAUCCUUGACUCCUCGAAUACAAUGGAAUUUCACACCUGGCAAAUCCUUUACUCUACCUCCUCUUAUUAACACCAUAGAAUGUUCCUGCAAAUUAUGACCUUCGCCUGGAAUGUAAGCAAAUAUAUCAUGUCGAUUGCUCAACCGUACUUUGGCUAUCUUACGUAGAGCUGAAUUAGGUUUUUUCGGUGUUCUCGUUGAAACACGCAGGCAUACUCCUUGCUUCUGGGGACAUUGAUCCAAAGCUCGAGUACGGUCCGUGCGCCGUUUUUCUUCUCUACCAUGACGAAUCAAUUGAUUUAAUGUAGGCAUCGCUCUUUCCUUUGUCCUUCCCCCCGAUUUUUUCCCUAUCACUAGUGAUUACUCCCAAUCCAAAGCACCCCUUUUCCAUUCAUAGAGAAAUCCAAUCGUCAAAAUCAAUAAAAAGGCCAUCAUGGACCAAAAUCCAAACAGAUCAAUCUUGUUGAGAGAUACUGCCCAAGGAAAGAAAAAGGUUACUUCCAGAUCAAAGAUAAUAAAUAAAAUUGAAACAAGAUAAAAUCGUAUAUCGAAACGACUUCUGGCAUCACCGAAAGGAUCGAAACCACAUUCGUAGGCCGACAAUUUUUCUGGAUAAGUCGAACUAUUGGAAGCAAAUAAAAAAGGAAGACCGAGUAAGAUCAAAGAAACUAGCAAACUGAUCACUAAAUAGAUACAAAUAGGUGCAAAUUCUAACAUCACCACAGCCCACUUGCUUCUAUCGCCCCUUGCUCGCGGAGCGUCAUACCGAAAAAAAAGAGAAAGAAAGUAUUACGAAAUAGCGCCCCACAUGCUUAUUAUUUCGAUACUUUUUGUCAUAAUGGGGUUAUACCCGCACCCGCCUUCCAAUAAGAGGGCAUGCACAUAGGUGAGAGUGGAUAGAUCUGUCAAAUCCGUAUUUAUAGUCGAAAUGACAGAUUGUGCCAGUUCAGUCCAGGAGUGACCCACGGGCAGUUUUUCGAUACCAUGAUGAAUCCAUUUGAACUCUAGUUGAGUGGCUAUCUCGUCUAGAUACUGUUCCGGAGUAAAGAGAGGAAGAUUUUGAAUGUCCAGCUCCUGGGCAUACUCUGAAACGAGACGGGCUACUUGGUCUUGGGCCCGUGAAGGAAGACUCCAUUUGUGGAGCGCGAAAAUGAAUAUUAUUCCAAUACCGACAGCAGCGGAAAUUGAAGCAAGGGGUCGCUUUGAAUGAAAGACGAAAGAAGUUCUUGUAUAUUCAUCGAGUUUAUAUAAAACUAAUAGUUCCGCUUCUUUAAACUUCAACUUACACAGGAUCUCAAAGCAAGCGGAGGGGAGAAUCAAGAAGCACUUCUAGGAGGGAAGGACAUCUAUCUCGGAUCCCUAACUGGGACAGUCUUAUCUAUAGCCCUCCACCGUCGUUGAGACUGCGAAAGAAGACUUGUAGGAAAGAGGCCGGUUGGCUUAGUCCAACCAAGAAAGGCAUGGGAGUCUUUGGGCAUUGCUUGGAAUGUAGAAUGAAGGGUUGGAUUGUGCGUAUACUAAGUUUUUGGCUUGCAAUAAAGCUAGGGUCCUGAUCGAGAAAGUAAACUUUCCUAUCUAUCCACCUCUCCAAACACAAUAUCUUGAGUACCUAUGAUGGUGACCACAUCUGCUAGCAUGUGAUGUUUGGACAUAAAAUCGAGUCCUUGUAAAUGGGCAAAGCCAGGUGCUCUUAUUUUACAACGGUAAGGACGAUUGCUUCCAUUACUGACCAGAAAGACACCAAAUUCUCCUUUAGGUGCUUCAACUGCGGUAUAGGUAGAAGAAGCUGGUACAGAAAAACCUUCUGUAUAAAGUUCGAAAUGGUGAAUUGAGGUAGAGUAGACCGAUGAUCCUGUAGUCAUUUGGCCGGCUAUUAAAAGAAAAAAGCUUGCAUCCGCUCCCCCUAUUAUAUAACCGGUCCCAUCUCUCUCCAAACCUAACGUGAUAGUUUCCCAUCAUAAGGCUUUCUAUCUAUAGAUUAAGCCAUUACCAAGGAGCUAAUUCGUUCAGAACUCAGUUGACUGCUUCUAUAGAUAAGGCGGAGCGUCCUUGGCUCAGCAUUAUAGCACAUAGGGCUUCGACGCUACUACAGCGCUUCGCUAACUCGAAGCGCCUCGCUAUGAGAAUCUAGCUUCGCUAACGCUCGGCUAAGUCUUGAACUUUCGCGCUGACCGUUCGUUUUCUCAGUAGCAAAAGCGCUUCUCUUUGCCCCUUAAGUAGAAGGACAAGAAAGAUAUUUUUGGUUUUAUUGCUCCACGCUCGUCAAGCCAACUUUGCUUUUUGGGAGGUGAAACAGCGGUUGAAGCGGGCAUUUCGAAAUGACAGCAUCGAAGAGAAAUAUAUAUAUAUACACGGUUAUGGUUAUCCCGGACUGUGUUCCGGAAAAAGUGGCCUACUUGAAAGGGCGGGCACUCUCGUGUUUCAACCCCACUAUACUCUUCAUAGUUGUGGGGCACUGUGUACUUACAGCCUCUACGAUAAGCAAGUGAAUGGGGCCGGUGCGUGUCGAACGGAACGGUUCAUCAAGCCAUUUCUCGCCUCAACCCCCUAAAUUAAAUAGGAAUAGGGGUACUUUUGAAAUAGGGGCUAAUUUAAUUGCUUCGCACCUGACCCUCUCGAUACCUUAUUAGAGCUUUGUAACUAGUGGCCGGUUUCCCGUUGCUAGAGCGUUUUCCCAGUGCGCGGAGCCCCAACGAGGAAGGUGUUAGUAGUUUAUCAUUUUUUCAAUAAUGCUAAUCCCUCUUUUUGUGCUACUCCUACUUCUAGGGCGGGAAGAAGAUAAGAAAACGCGAAGCGUUCUCUUUUUUUCCCAACCUGUUGCUUCUAAAGGCUGCCCUCUCUCGGCUGGAUGUUGGUCCAGCCUACUACGAGGAUCCCGUAUCCAGCAACCCAACCUAAAAAAAGGACAUCAAAACCCGGUUGGAGCUAUGAAGCUUAC